GUCCGCACCGUAAACGAUGAUUACUCGUUGUUGGCAAUAUGACCGUCAGCGACCAAGCGAAAGCGAUAAGUAAUCCACCUGGGGAGUACGCCGGCAACGGUGAAACUCAAAGGAAUUGACGGGGGCCCGCACAAGCGGAGGAGCAUGUGGUUUAAUUCGAUGAUACGCGAGGAACCUUACCUGGGCUUGAAAGUUAGCGACCGGUCCUGAAAGGGAUCUUCCAGCAAAUGGCGCGAAACUAGGUGCUGCAUGGCUGUCGU
rnacentral:rRNA from 1 species